rnacentral:rRNA from 1 species
AUUGAACGCUGGCGGCAGGCCUAACACAUGCAAGUCGAGCGGAAACGAAGAGAGCUUGCUCUCAGGCGUCGAGCGGCGGACGGGUGAGUAACGCGUAGGAAUCUACCCAGUAGCGGGGGAUAGCCCGGGGAAACCCGGAUUAAUACCGCAUACGCCCCACGGGGGAAAGCAGGGGAUCUUCAGACCUUGCACUAUUGGAUGAGCCUGCGUUGGAUUAGCUUGUUGGUGAGGUAAAAGCUCACCAAGGCGACGAUCCAUAGCUGGUCUGAGAGGAUGAUCAGCCACACUGGGACUGAGACACGGCCCAGACUCCUACGGGAGGCAGCAGUGGGGAAUAUUGGACAAUGGGGGCAACCCUGAUCCAGCCAUGCCGCGUGUGUGAAGAAGGCUUUCGGGUUGUAAAGCACUUUCAGCGAGGAGGAAAUGGCAGCGGCUAAUACCCGCAGUCUAUGACGUUACUCGCAGAAGAAGGACCGGCUAACUCCG